rnacentral:rRNA from 1 species
UACGUAGGGUGCAAGCGUUAAUCGGAAUACUGGGCGUAAAGCGUGCGCAGGCGGUUAUGUAAGACAGAUGUGAAAUCCCCGGGCUCAACCUGGGAACUGCAUUGUGACUGCAUAGCUAGAGUACGGUAGAGGGGGAUGGAAUUCCGCGUGUAGCAGUGAAAUGCGUAGAUAUGCGGAGGAACACCGAUGGCGAAGGCAAUCCCCUGGGCCUGCACUGGACGCUCAUGCACGAAAGCGUGGGGAGCAAACAGG